rnacentral:rRNA from 1 species
UUCCGGUUGAUCCUGCCGGACCCCACUGCUAUCGAGGUGGGACUAAGCCAUGCCAGUCGAACGACCCGGACUAUGGCGGGGAGUGGCAGACUGCUCAGUAACACGUAGCUAACCUACCCUCGGGACGGGGAUAACCCCGGGAAACUGGGGCUAAUACCCGAUAGGUAUGGAUUCCCGGAAUGGUGCCAUGCCUAAACGUAAGCACAUCCAUGUUUGUGUGCACGCCCGAGGAUGGGGCUGCGGCCGAUCAGGCAGUUGGUGAGGUAACGGCUCACCAAACCUUUGACCGGUACGGGCCAUGAGAGUGGUAGCCCGGAGAUGGGCACUGAGACAAGGGCCCAGGCCCUACGGGGCGCAGCAGGCGCGAAACCUCCACAAUUCACGCAAGUGAGAUGGGGUUACCUCGAGUGCCAUCUGAAGAAGGUGGCUUUUCCAUGGUGUAAUGAGCCGUGGGAAUAAGGGGGGGGCAAGACUGGUGUCAGCCGCCGCGGUAACACCAGCCCCCCGAGUGGUGGGGAUGAUUAUUUGGCCUAAAGCGUCCGUAGCCAGCUCGGUAAAUCUCUCGUUAAAUCCAGCGUCCUAAGCGUUGGGCUGCGAGGGAAACUGCCGAACUAGAGGGUGGGAGAGGUCAGCGGUAUUCCUGGGGUAGGGGCGAAAUCCAUUGAUCCCAGGAGGACCACCAGUGGCGAAGGCUGCUGACUAGAACACGCCUGACGGUGAGGGACGAAAGCUGGGGUAGCGAAUCGGAUUAGAUACCCGAGUAGUCCCAGCCGUAAACGAUGCACGCUAGGUGUUGGGUCGGCCAUGCGCCGCCUCAGUGCCACAGGGAAGCCAUUAAGCCUGCCGCCUGGGGAGUACGGCCGCAAGGCUGAAACUUAAAGGAAUUGGCGGGGGAGCACCACAGGCGUGAAGCCUGCGGUUUAAUUGGAGUCAACGCCGGG